UUUCCCAAGGAAGAAGUUCUGACGGUACUUGGGGAAUAAGCAUCGGCUAAUUCCGUGCCAGCAGCCGCGGUAAUACGGGAGAUGCGAGCGUUAUCCGGAAUCACUGGGCGUAAAGCGUCUGUAGGUGGUUUGUUAAGUCUGUUGUUAAAAACUGAAGCUCAACUUCAGAGGUGCGGCAGAAACUGGCAAACUUGAGUAUGUUAGGGGUAGGAGGAAUUUCUAGUGUAGCGGUGAAAUGCGUAGAUAUUAGGAAGAACACCAUUAGCGAAGGCGUCCUACUGGGCCAUAACUGACACUGAGAGACGAAAGCUAGGGUAGCAAACGGGAUUAGAUACCCCGGUAGUCCUAGCCGUAAACGAUGGAUACUAGAUGUCGCGGGUUUACCUGCGGUGUCGUAGCUAACGCGUUAAGUAUCCCGCCUGGGAAGUACGCACGCAAGUGUGAAACUCAAAUGAAUUGACGG
rnacentral:rRNA from 1 species